UUUCUUUUGGGGGUUUUAUAUGUCUAAAAUAUUUCAAUGUCAGUUUUGUUCCAAGCAAAUGGGAAGGAAUUUCAAAGCUCAUUACCAGCUUCCAAAAGUUAUAAAGCACAGUGCGGUCGGAGUAUAUCGAUGAUAGCAUGAUGUAAGGUGGAAUACAGGGAAUCACCGAAAGUUUUAUCGGUGGAAUAAUUGGGAAAUACUGUGGGAAAUGUAAAGGUUCAGACAAAAGGGUCAGAGGUAUGAAACAACAGCAGGGGUAAAAAACAUCUGGUUGUCAGAGGUUGGGGAAUUUGAAAGUCAGGUAGAAAGUCAAGUGAUUAAUGGCCAGUUCGGGGAAGCUGGUCAAAACAAAGCAAUGCAGUGGAAGAAUUUUUUGCAAGAAUGCCAUCAACUAACCACCAACUUAAACUGACGAAAUUUUCUUUGACUAAAACAAGGGCAGGAAAAUUCGGUUGUUCCGGAGAUUUCUCAGUAAGGAAAAAACAAGCAGUAAUCAGGUUUGACCGCAAAGUGUGGUGUAAUUAAAAUACGGGAUAAUUAUGAAUAGAAUAGGGGAGUGAAAGUUUGCAUGUUUAGGAUAAAAUUCAAAUAGAAGUCGUCAGGACCUUCAUGGAUAAUAGGACGUAGUUCAAAAAUCCUUGUAGAUAAUAUAAUGUAGCAAGAAUAACACUUUAGGUUUGUAAUUGUUAGGAGUGGUCAGGAUCUUCCUGAAUAAUGGGAUGUAGUUCAAAAACCCUUGUAGAUAACAUGAUGUAGAGAGAGUAAUACCUUAGAUUUUUAAUUGUUAGGAGUUGUCAGGACGUUCUUGGAUAAUAGGAUGUAGUUUUAAAAACCCUUGUAAAGGGCAUAGUGUAGUGGGAGUAAUACCUUUAGAAAAUAUAAAUUAGGUUCAUAAUCAUUAGGAGUUGUCAGGACCUCCCUGUAUAAUAGGACUUAGCUUUCAAAUUCUUCGUAAUAGUUGAUAUAUGAUUCAGUAACACUCAGCAAUGGGCCCAGUUACCAAAUUGGGGCAGAAAGGUUUCCUUGUUUUCGUAUGUUUCGUUGAAUUCAGGAGCCCGCCUGGAGAGCAUGGAAUACAUUCCAAGUUAGCAGUCAGGAGCCCGCCUGAAGAGCAAGGAAUACAUUUCAAGUGCAGUAGUCAGGAGUCCGCUUGGAGAACAAGGGAGUAUAAUUUAAGUUUUAGUUUUCAAACUUUGUUUUGUUUAUUUUGAAGUCAGG
rnacentral:lncRNA from 1 species